UGGGUCCUUCCAUCUUCUCUUCCUAUCAUCUUUUCUACGUACCGAUGCUCUCACCUCCACCUUAGCACCAUCCUCUCCUCCUUCUUGCCGAGUUCGUUGGGCUGGUUGGUUUUGCAAAUCAGUAGUUAGUCGCCUAAUAUUACGGGGUUGCUCAAGCAAGUGAUGCAUCAAAAUCACUUGAAGAGGCCAUCAAGAACAGUAUAAGGAUCAGAUACCACAAUAAGCAUCUCGGAUAUCUUCUUUAAGCUAUAAAAGAAGGGGUGAAUGUGAAGGGAUAUUAUGCGUGGGCAUUCUCUGACAACUUUGAAUGGGAACAUGGUCAACAUUUCAAUUUGAUUAAUGUACGUGGAUUGCAGCAACAUGAAAUGAUAUCAACACAGCUUUAAGCAUUUGUGAGGGUUGAGAAAAGAGGCUGAUCAACAUCUUGGAUCACAACUUGAAGACAUUCUGCUAAAGUGUUAUUUCAUUCUUUAAUGCACAC